CAAAGGAUGCCUAUUUCACUGGUGGCCUACCGCGAGCGAGCGAGCGAGAGAUGGAGUCCAUCGCCACACCCUUCUUCUCCAACUCCUGCGUCGUCACACUCAAGAGCGGAUCCAUCGCUCUCCCUUGCCGUCGCCGCUCGCCGUCUCCGCCGAGGAAGCGAUUGCUCGCCUCCCGCGAACUCCGCUGCCAGAAGAUGUAUGUUCCAGGGUUCGCGGAGGCUUCCCCGGAGGCGAAGGCUGCGAGGAAUCUACAGGAUUUCUUCACUUACCUCGCUGUAAAGAUCGUUCUGGCACAGCUCGAGAGCUAUAAUCGUGAGGCAUACGAUGAGUUGAUGGAAUUCAUCAGUGGCAAUUCUUUGAACGAUGGGGAAAAGUUCUGUCAAAGAUUGAUGCGCGAGUCUCCCAGGCAUAAGGGUUUAGCUCUGCGAAUCCUUGAGGUCAGUACACUCAAAAUUGUAGAAGAUGACAUGAACACUUCCAGUAUCAUGACUUUAUCCGUGUGGCACAAGAUAAAUCUACUUACUUGCAGGUCCGAUCUGCAUAUGCUAAGCAGGAUUUUGAGUGGGAAAACUUGAAGAAAUUAGCUUUCAAGGUUGAAACUGCCUUUGCCUGAAAAUCCACGUUAGCUGACAACUUAACGUGCAACCCUCACGCUUUUUCAAUUGGAUGGUGGAUGAAUCUAACACUAGGCUUAUGAGGGAUUAUGUGGAGGAAACAAGUCACCUCGAAAGUGAGGGUUAGUCCCUGAAACACAGAUCUUAUGAAGGGUUCUCUUUUAAUCGCUCGAUUUGAUAGAAGGUCGCACAUAGAAGGCAUCAUGCAAAUUAUGUUAUUAAUUGUUAUGAUAUAAAGGAAUAGAAGAAAAGCAAUCAUGAGAUUACAUAAUGUAUGAAUUCUCUAAAUUA